UUUAUACUCCCUCAGUCCCAAAAUUCUUGUCUUAGGUUUGUCUAAAAAUAGAUAUAUUUAAGUACUAAAACAUGACUAGAUGCAUUCAUAUCUAGAUAAAUGUAAGACAAGAAUUUUGAGACGGAGGGAGUACUAG
rfam:Hordeum vulgare subsp. vulgare, WGS project CAJW01000000 data, contig: morex_contig_415027